GUCCUUGCGCGUGGAUCCGAGCGACCAUGGUGGCCCGGGUGUGGUCGCUGAUGAGCGAGCCCUUGGCGUUCCGUUCGCGGUGUCAGCCUCCGCCUCCGAGCCUCAGUUGUCUUCUCUGUGAAGUGGGAAUGCCGGUGAAUCCUGCCGCUGGCGUGGAUGAGAAGUGAAUGCAUGCUCGGAGCUGCGAGUGACAGCGGGCAGGAGGCGCCCAGGGACACUUGGUUUCUCCAGGGCUGGAAGGCUUCUAGAAGGUUCCUCAUCAAGGGAAGUGUGGCUGGGGGCGCCGUCUACCUGGUGUACGACCAGGAGCUGCUGGGGCCCAGCGACAAGAGCCAGGCAGCCCUACAGAAGGCUGGGGAGGUGGUCCCCCCAGCCAUGUACCAGUUCAGCCAGUACGUGUGUCAGCAGACAGGCCUGCAGAUACCCCAGCUCCCAGCCCCUCCAAAGAUUUACUUUCCCAUCCGUGACUCCUGGAAUGCAGGGAUCUAAAAGGGAAAGGAGGCCGAGCACAGUGGCUCACGCCUGUAAUCCCAGCACUUUGGGAGGCUGAGGUGGGCGGAUCAUCUGAAGUCAGGAGUUCGAGACCAGCCUGGGCAACAUGGUGAAACCCCAUCUCUACUAAAAAUACAAAAAUUAACCGUGCGUGGUGAUGCACAUCUGUAAUCCCAGCUGCUGCUUGAGAGGCUGAAGCAGGAGAAUUGCUUGAACCCAGGAGGCAGAGGUUGCAGUGAGCCGAGGUUGCACCACUGCACUCCAGCCUGGGCGACAGGGCGAGACUCCAUCUCAAAAAAAUAAAAUACAAAAAUUAGCCUGGUAUGGUGACGCACUUGUAGUCCCAGCUACUUGGGAGGCUGAGGCAAGAGAAUCGCUUGAACCCAGGAGGCGAAGGUUGCAGUGAGCCGAGAUUGCACUACUGCACUCCAGCCUGGGAGACAGAGCAUCAUGACGGUGAUGUCAGCUCUGUCGGUGGCCCCCUCCAAGGCCCGCGAGUACUCCAAGGAGGGCUGGGAGUAUGUGAAGGCGCGCACCAAGUAGCGAGUCAGCAGGGGCCGCCUGCCCCGGCCAGAACGGGCAGGGCUGCCACUGACCUGAAGACUCCGGACUGGGACCCCACUCCGAGGGCAGCUCCCGGCCUUGCCGGCACAAUAAAGGACUUCAGAAGUG